rnacentral:tRNA from 1 species
GAUCCAUUAGCUCAGUUGGUAGAGCACUUGACUUUUAAUCAAGGUGUCCCGCGUUCGAGUCGCGGAUGGGUCACCA